AGGUGUUCGGGUUAAGUCCCGCAACGAGCGCAACCCCUACUGCCAGUUACUAACAGGUAACGCUGAGGACUCUGGCGGAACCUGCCCGGUGGACAAACCGGGAGGAAGGUGGGGAUGACGUCAAGUCAUCAUGGCCCCCUAUGUCCAGGGCUACACACGUGCUACAAUGGGCGAUACAGAGUGACGCGAAGCCGCGAGGUGGAGCAAAUCGCAGAAAAUCGCUCUCAGUUCGGAUUGGAGUCUGAAACCCGACUCCAUGAAGGUGGAAUCGCUAGUAACCGCAGGUCAGCAAUACUGCGGUGAAUACGUUCCCGGGUCUU
rnacentral:rRNA from 1 species